UGGACUGGGAAUCGAGUUUUUAAUAUUAAAAGUAGGGGAGGUUUGUUGAAUGACUGGUUCGGUUAGUAGAGGUUCGGGGUUUAUUUGUUUAAAAUUCGAAUUAUUGUAGUCAACAUGACUUUGGUUUUGUGGUGGUUACUGGACUGAGAAUUGAGUUUCCAACGUUAAAAGUAGGGGAAGCUUGUUAAACGACUGGUUCGGUUAGUAGAGGUUCGAGGUUUUCUAUUUGUUUAAAAUUAGAAUUAUUGUAGUCAACAUGACUUUGGUUUUGUGGUGGUUGGUGAAGUGGGAAUCGAGUUUUCAACGUUAAAAGCAUGGAAAGCUUGUUGAACGACUGGUUCGGGAACCUGGCACUUUCAUCUGAUUGGUUGGAUUCCACAGCGCACGCCUCUAUACGACGUUUCGUUGGUACGUGAUUGGUCGAGACGUUAGUACACACUUGGAUCCAGCGACAGAGAGCGCGAGGAGCCAUUUCCAACUAGAAAUUGGAGAUCGUACAGCGACUGUAUUCGUGCCUGUGACGUCACGAGUGCCAACUUCCCAGCAACGACGGAUCCUCUCGUGCAAUAUGGCCUUUUUACGUCAGAACAACAAAAAGUCCUUGAAGCUUUUAUUGUUAAGAAAAGUUAAAGAAGAUCUGGAACGUUCGGAAGCUACACCUCCACCUUACAUAUAAUCAAUUACUUGCUUCUUAUUGCGUUUCAUAAGCUCUGGGUUAGGUCUAACUUAAUAAUUCAUAUUAGAGUUAACUGAGAAAAAUUAUUAUUCAUUAUUAUUAUGGGAAUUAUUCUUCAAUAUCUUCUGUGAGAAAUCGUUAAAGAAGUUGAUUUAGUAAUAACCAAACCGAAAUAUGAACCAAUUGAAAUCACUAGAUGGGUCAAAAUUGACCCAUUCACGAUUUCUUCCAUUACAAUAAUUACAAAGGCACGGACACUUCUUUAAAAUAUGAUUAAAGAAUUCGAUGUAGAAAUCGAUAUUGAAAUCUUAACACUAGAAUUAUCAGGCGGGUCAAAAUUGACCCAUUCCUGAUUUCUUUUGCUACAAUUACUGAAAAAGCACAGAUACUUCUUUGAAGAAUCGUUAAAGAAGUUGAAUUAGUAAUACCUAAACUGAAAUAUGAACCAAUUGAAAUCACUAGGUGGGUCAAAAUUGACCCAUUCCAGAUUUCUUCUGUUACAAUAAUUACAAAGGCACGGACACUUCUUUAAAAAA